CCUCUCUUUAUUUUUGCAGCGUUUUGCCACUUGGAUUGCAACAAUUCAUCGAAAACAUACAAUUUUCACAAAGAUUUGGUGUGUGAAGAGCCAAAUUACAAGAAUUUUUAUGAAAGUUGGAAGCUGUUUGACAAAAAAUCAAUCGAGUGGUCCUUGAUGAGCUGGUGAUUAAGUUAUGUCACAUAUUUGGACAAACAACUGG
rnacentral:lncRNA from 1 species